AAAAGAUUUUAAAAAAAGGUAGAGGAGCUUUUCAUUAACCUUGAAUCUGAAACCUUCCAGUAACCUUGGAACACCCUUGGCUUACAGGAUUAUUACCUCGUGCUCAAUAUUCACCCUCCUCUAGGGAGAAGGAUUUAUCUUUUUGUCUUUAAUCUCUGAUCCAAGAAAUGACAUUAAAGGAAAGCAUAGGCUCUGGGGAUGAUCAGGUCUCCCAGAUCUUGUUCUCCAUUAAGCAGGCUUAACUGAAGCCAAGAAAGACCUUAUACAUCCACAACAACCCCUUACCUCCACCUGAAAAGAUGUCACCUCAGGUGACUACUAUAUGCCCUACCUAGAAAAAGGUAGGGGGAUAUGCUGUAAAAGCAUAGACAUUGUUCCUUAACAUCUCAGUGGCAUCAUGAGUGAGAGCUUCUACUUUCUAUCUGGAGACAAGUGUUUAUAUCAAUCUCUCCCAAACUUUCAAGGGUUACUACAGGGAACAGUGGGUACUCCACAGAUUUCUAUAAAGCUUUCCCAAAAGUUUGGUAUGUGCUUGAUUGAUAUUCUGUAGGUCUAUGUUAGCUCAUACAACCAGGUUGAUGAAUGAUGCCAUAUUGCUCCCAGCUCAAGUGCUUUGGCAAGCAUUGCCUUCAUGUGCUCCCACUUCUUGGUACAAUGACAGAUGCUACCAGUUAUCAGCAGGUGGUUUGGAUUUUCCUUUUCAGUCACCCUCCACUGACUCCCAUUUUUUGAUGUGGUUCUGGCACAUUUUAAACAGUCUCACUCUGCUUCUUUUGGCAAGAGUUUUAAACAUUUGGUUGUAGAAGGGGAAAAAGACUUUUUAUUUUAAACCUUUGAAUAAGAAUAGGAGACAAUCAGGCUCUGCUAUUACAAAUCCAAUAUCUGAUAUUAGAUGGAUUUAUCAGUUUGGAAGAGUAAGAUAAAUUCCUUUUUUUUUGGUAUUUUUUUUUCUCAAGUCACAAGUGACUAGGUAAUACGGUUCAUUGUGUCUUACCAUCUGAAGAAAACUGUUUUGGCCAUACAGCUCCAAAUGGCUCAUGAACUGCAAGCUGCAACUGAAGAUUGAGAUAUGAGGGAGACUGAGAUAUGAGGGAGACUGUCUCUGAACUAACAAGAGCAAAGUAUUUCAGUCUCUUAGAGGCUGUGUGCCCACACUGACAUAAUCGGGAAGCUUCACAAUAGCAUCUUGAGAGAAGCCACAUUACUGGUCUUAAAUGCUACAACUUCGGUUCCUCUGUCUGAAUAUCUUGACUAAUUAUCUCCAAAACUUUAGUUUUCACACAUUUCUUUAUUCCUUACAGUAGUCAUUCCAAGUACUUUUCAAGGGGUGGUAAAAGAUGUAAGUCCUUUCUUCUAAACCUGUUUCUUGUUUCAGGCUGUUGACAGUUGAUUUGAAUCUGUAUCAUCCUAAAUAGCAUAGUGUUGAACAGCAUGGUUACAGCAAUCAUCCUUCCUAUUCCUCAACCCUUCUUCCCCAGCUCUUUUCAAAAGCCCUUUCCAGGAGACUAGGCGUUACCGAGAGCAAGAAGCUCAUUCAGCUUUCUCAUUCACAGAGCCUUUCAUCUUGGAGUGGAGGGCCUGGAUUUUGUAGGGCUUGUCCUAAUAGGUGUGUCAGGUAAAGAUACCUCUUUGAUUUCUAAGCUAAACAUCUUUAACCACCAAUAUGACUUUAGGAUGAUAACAUUAGUGGUGAUAAUACCUUCACUUCAGCAGGGGGCAUUAUUUCAUGUUGCUUGGUCCUGAACACACCUAUUUCCAUAAAGAGAUUUGCCUGCAUAACAUCAUGGACCAUAAGCACUACCAAUACAACUUCCAUUUCUUGAAAGUCUUUGCUGUUCAGAGUAUGGGUAUUUGUGCUCCUAAUGAUAAAUAAGUACAACAAAUAAUUUUUUAUUCUUACUUGGCAGUUAGUCAAUGAAUAUACCUUUCUAGAAUAAUGCCAGCUUCUUUAUAGGUAUUAUAGAAUCAUAGAAUCAUUAGAAUCAUUAAGGUUGGAAAAGACCUCCAAGAUCAUAUCACUUCCCUUUUUUCUUCAGUUGUUUGGGGCUCACAAUUAAUAUCUUCUCUGCAGUUAUUUUCAGGCACCUAAAGUGAGCCUUCAUAUUCCAGCAUACUAGAGUACCAGAAAGUGUUUUUACUUAUGGUACUUCAUAUGUCAGGCCCAUGUAAAUGGGAAGUCUGAGAGGACAUUAUAAAGAUUAUCUUUGAUGGGACUGGGCAUUUCCUAUGAUCAACUUUUUUGACUUAAGGAUGAAGAAAGGGGUUCAGCUUUCCAUGACUUGCCUGGACCUGAUAUUUUCAUUCCUCAUUCCUGUUCCAGUUGCUUGGUGUACAUCCGUCCAGUUCUGCUUCUUUUGAGGAUGUCCAGAGAGCUAAAGCCAGAUGGUGCCAGAUUUAUGAGGUCAAAAUCAUUCCAAAGACGAACAAUGAUCCAAAGACCUACAUUUUCUACCAGUGGAGUAGCCCUUAGGUCUUUGAGCCAUACUGCCAGAAUUUGUAUCAGAACCUAUCUGCUAUCUCUUUCCUGUGUCUCACAGCUUGGACAAGUUUAUUAGCACAGAGCAGAUUUAUUUUUUCCUUGUGUAAGAUGUUACAAGCUUUGGAAAAAGCUAGUGGUGAGGUGCAAGUGGAUCAGACUUUCACUGAGUUGUAUGGCUAGAUUUCUGUUACUCAGUGAAGUUUCACUACUUUUUAUUCUGAAA